AGGCCGAAAGGCGUAGUCGAUGGGAAACAGGUUAAUAUUCCUGUACUUGGUGUUACUGCGAAGGGGGGACGGAGAAGGCUAUGUUAGCCGGGCGACGGUUGUCCCGGUUUAAGCAUGUAGGCUGGUUAUCCAGGCAAAUCCGGAUAAUCAAGGCUGAGGUGUGAUGACGAGGCACUACGGUGCUGAAGUAACAAAUGCCCUGCUUCCAGGAAAAGCCUCUAAGCAUCAGGUAACAUCAAAUCGUACCCCAAACCGACACAGGUGGUCAGGUAGAGAAUACCAAGGCGCUUGAGAGAACUCGGGUGAAGGAACUAGGCAAAAUGGUGCCGUAACUUCGGGAGAAGGCACGCUGGUGUGUAGGUGAAGUCCCUGCGGAUGGAGCUGAGACCAGUCGAAGAUACCAGCUGGCUGCAACUGUUUAUUAAAAACACAGCACUGUGCAAACACGAAAGUGGACGUAUACGGUGUGACGCCUGCCCGGUGCCGGAAGGUUAAUUGAUGGG
rnacentral:rRNA from 1 species